rnacentral:rRNA from 2 species
CUAGGAAUAUUGGACAAUGGGCGAAAGCCUGAUCCAGCCAUGCCGCGUGAAUGAAGAAGGCCUUCGGGUUGUAAAACUCUUUUAAUAGGGAAGAUGAUGACGGUACCUAUAGAAUAAGCACCGGCUAACUUCGUGCCAGCAGCCGCGGUAAUACGAAGGGUGCAAGCGUUGUUCGGUUUUACUGGGCGUAAAGCGAGUGUAGGCGGAUUGUUAAGUCAGUGGUGAAAUCCCGAGGCUCAACCUCGGAACUGCCAUUGAAACUAACAAUCUAGAGGAUAAUAGAGGAUAACGGAACUCCGAGUGUAGAGGUGGAAUUCGUAGAUAUUCGGAAGAACAUCAGUGGCGAAAGCGGUUAUCUGGAUUAUUUCUGACGCUGAGAUGCGAAAGCGUGGGGAGCAAACAGG